rnacentral:rRNA from 1 species
GCACGGAGUUAGCCGGUGCUUCUUCUGCGAGUAACGUCACAGUUGACACGUAUUAGGCGCCAACCUUUCCUCCUCGCUGAAAGUGCUUUACAACCCGAAGGCCUUCUUCACACACGCGGCAUGGCUGCAUCAGGGUUUCCCCCAUUGUGCAAUAUUCCCCA